AGUGAACGCUGGCGGUAGGCCUAACACAUGCAAGUCGAACGGCAGCACAGUAAGAGCUUGCUCUUACGGGUGGCGAGUGGCGGACGGGUGAGGAAUACAUCGGAAUCUACUUUUUCGUGGGGGAUAACGUAGGGAAACUUACGCUAAUACCGCAUACGGCCUACGGGUGAAAGCAGGGGAUCUUCGGACCUUGCGCGAUUGAAUGAGCCGAUGUCGGAUUAGCUAGUUGGCGGGGUAAAGGCCCACCAAGGCGACGAUCCGUAGCUGGUCUGAGAGGAUGGUCAGCCACACUGGAACUGAGACACGGUCCAGACUCCUACGGGAGGCAGCAGUGGGGAAUAUUGGACAAUGGGCGCAAGCCUGAUCCAGCCAUACUGCGUGGGUGAAGAAGGCCUUCGGGUUGUAAAGCCCUUUUGUUGGGAAAGAAAAGCAGCAGGUUAAUACCCCGCUGUUCUGACGGUACCCAAAGAAUAAGCACCGGCUAACUUCGUG
rnacentral:rRNA from 1 species